GCUCCCGCAAACCCACCCUGACCUCCUUCCUGCAGCUCGCCGCCCGGCUGCCCUCUGUGUCCAUCCGAAGGGAAGGAGCCCCAGAGUUUGCUUCCCCGUCUGCUGCAGAGUAACUAGAUUGUAAAUAACGCGUUGAUUACCCACACCGUGCAGGAAUGUUAAAAAAAAAAAAAGAAAAGAAAAGAAAGAAAGAAAAGAAAGAAAUCUGCCCUCCACUUAAAGGAGCGAUAAAAUGAAAUGGCAGGAAGGGAAGGAGGCAGGGAGAGUGGGAUAUCUCUAGAUCUCGACGGAGCUCGCGUCUAUAAAUACGCAUUCAUGUUUAGUCAAGUCCCCUUUGUCAACUUCUUCCCUGCGCUGGAACCUCACCCGCUGCCCUGUAACCAUUACCUGGGCCCCUUCUUACCCCCCACCCCUGUUUGCACAGAGUAAAGCUCGCACAGAGGGCGCGCGCGGGGGUCUGCGGGUGUCCGCGGAACCUUCUGGGAGGCGAGCCGCCGUCUGCCCAGCGCGAAGGCUGGAGCAGCAAGAGGUUCGCUUUUUAAAGCGACCACUGCCUCCCCGAGACCGGCUCCGCGCCUGCGGGUCCCCGCCGCCGGCACUUUGCACCCACCUACUCCUGGGGAGGGGGGAAGAAAAGUUUUGGGAUGCUCUCAUCUCUGCCUCCAGGGUGGUUGAACUGGUUUUGUUUCGUGUGGGUGAAGCCGAAAAACCCAAUGCCCAAAAACCAAGCAAUGCUGUUUAGGGGGAAAAAGGCUCGGCGCUGGGUUUCGACUCCUUCUGUGCGUCCCUUGAAUCGGCGCGUGAAGGCAAGGCAGAGACCCUCAGAGUUGCAUCACCAUCGGAAGAAACUCCGUAGCUUUACGCCGAUUUGCAUGUUCUCUUCCCUCAUCUCGGUGAUUUUCUUCAGACGCGCAUCUAUUGACUGAGGCGCGUCCCUGGGCACCCCCAGCAUUUCCCAGAGUGCAACAUCACCACCAGGAGAUCAAUGACCACAGUCUGUUUAUUCUUCACGCGCCUGGAAGAGCAGGGCACUGAAGCAGCAUGGGAGAUCCAGCACCACAGUCUGGGAAAGCAGUGCAGCUAGAAAUCUGACCCACUGUUGGCUCAUGAUCCCCAUCUAUGUGCUAUGAAAACAGGAAAACUCACGUGGACCUGGCUGGCCCCAAGCUAUUCUGCUGUGCCUGAUGCCGUCAAAAGCAGCUUCAAAUGUGACUACUCUCAAAUAUGUACAGACAGGUGCAUUGACACAACCUUGUUUCAUUCUGACUGAUACAAAUUCAUAUACUUCUCCCCAUGCCCUAGUUUCCUUGGGUUAUGUACUGUCAAACAUCAAGGCUGCAACUACUUGGUGACACUGCCUAUGUGGCCUAAACAAAACAAUGUAGUGGUGAUCUAAAUCAGAUGUCAUAGUACAUCUGUGACUGGAAUGACCUAGAACGUGGGCAUGAUGUUAGAGGUUGGAGCAGCCAUUUUGUGACCAAGAGUGACAAAUAUAUACUAAGGACAGCUCAGAAGAAAUAAGGAAGUGAUUUUGGUUCUAGAAGUGACUAGGAAGUUCCCCAAGAUCCCUUGAUUGCCUACCUCUGGGUUUCUCAUUGUGUGAGACAAAUGAAACCUUUAUUUUUAUGCCACAAUUUUGUUGUUUUCUGUUAUUUGAAACUGAGUUCAGUUGCUAAGUAAACAUUUUUCUUUAGGUCCAGCAUUCUUCUCAUCUUCUGGAAAUUGCUCUCCAUUCUCUAUAUGAACAGGUCUCCCUACCACGUUGGUUUAUGGCCCUUUUCUUCCACAGUCCACCUCUUUGGAGACAGGUAUAGCUGGGAAGAAUAGCCCUUUCUUUCCUCAGGACUCCUUUGUGAGAAUUUAAGCCUAGGAACUGCUUUCAGCGAUGAAUACAAGUUUGUGGUGCCACCCAACCCGAGACAAUGAGGUAGACAUGCAGAAAGAGGCUAAGAAAGGUUCUGAGGGCAUCUGAGGCCGCUAUUCCAGCCUGAGGGGUCAGCUGAGCCACCCUAGUUUCUAUUGUUCACUUCUUUCGUUCUUCUAAUUUUGAUUCAUGCUAGGAUCUUUCCUAUAAAGUUUAUGAAUUUUAUCUUGCUCCAGUUGGUUCAAGUUCACCUUCUGUCAUAUGCAGAGGUAUAGUAACUUAUAUAGGAAUUAGAACAAGCUUCCUGUAAUAGACUGAAUGUUCAUGUCCACUCAAAAUUCCUAUGUUAAAAUCCGAACCUCUAUGGUGAGAGGAUUAGGAUGUGGGGCUCUGGGAGGUGAUUAGGUCAUGAGGAUGGAACCCUCAUGACCUUACAAGGACAUUAAAAAGACUCCAGAGAGCUCUCUCACUCCUUCUGCUAUGUGAGAAUACAGCAAGACCACUAUCUGUGAACCAUGCAGCAGGUUCUCAUCAGAUCAGCCGGCGCCUUGAUCUUGGUCUUCGCCACCUCCAGAACUGAGUGAAAUAAAUGUUUGUUGUUUAAGGCACCCAGCCUAUGAUAUUUUUGUUAUAUCAUCCUGAAUGGACUAAGACACUCUUAGAUGACCAGCAUA